UACGGAGGGGGCUAGCGUUGUUCGGAAUUACUGGGCGUAAAGCGUACGUAGGCGGCUUUGUAAGUUAGAGGUGAAAGCCCGGGGCUCAACUCCGGAAUUGCCUUUAAGACUGCAUCGCUAGAAUUGUGGAGAGGUAAGUGGAAUUCCGAGUGGAGAGGUGAAAUUCGUAGAUAUUCGGAAGAACACCAGUGGCGAAGGCGACUUACUGGACACAUAUUGACGCUGAGGUGCGAAAGCGUGGGGAGCAAACAGG
rnacentral:rRNA from 1 species